GGCAAUGUGGCUUAGUGGUAGAGUGCUUGCCUCACAGGCAUGAGGCCCUGGGUUCAAUUCCUCAGUACCA
rnacentral:tRNA from 1 species